UAGGGAAUCUUCGGCAAUGGGGGGAACCCUGACCGAGCAACGCCGCGUGAGUGAAGAAGGUUUUCGGAUCGUAAAGCUCUGUUGUUAAGGAAGAACGAGUGUGAGAAUGGAAAGUUCAUGCUGUGACGGUACUUAACCAGAAAGGGACGGCUAACUACGUGCCAGCAGCCGCGUUAAUACGUAGGUCCCGAGCGUUGUCCGGAUUUAUUGGGCGUAAAGCGAGCGCAGGCGGUUAGAAAAGUCUGAAGUGAAAGGCAGUGGCUCAACCAUUGUAGGCUUUGGAAACUGUUUAACUUGAGUGCAGAAGGGGAGAGUGGAAUUCCAUGUGUAGCGGUGAAAUGCGUAGAUAUAUGGAGGAACACCGGUGGCGAAAGCGGCUCUCUGGUCUGUAACUGACGAUGAGGCUCGAAAGCGUGGGGAGCGAACAGG
rnacentral:rRNA from 1 species